rnacentral:rRNA from 1 species
CCUACGGGUGGCUGCAGUCGAGAAUCAUUCACAAUGGGGGAAACCCUGAUGGUGCGACGCCGCGUGGGGGAAUGAAGGUCUUCGGAUUGUAAACCCCUGUCAUGUGGGAGCAAAUUAAAAAGAUAGUACCACAAGAGGAAGAGACGGCUAACUCUGUGCCAGCAGCCGCGGUAAUACAGAGGUCUCAAGCGUUGUUCGGAAUCCCUGGGCGUAAAGCGUGCGUAGGCUGUUUCGUAAAUCGUGUGUGAAAGGCGCGGGCUCAACCCGCGGACGGCACAUGAUACUGCGAGACGAGAGUAAGGGAGGGGGAACCGGAAUGCUCGGUGUAGCAGUGAAAUGCGUAGAUAUCGAGAGGAACACUCGUGGCGAAGGCGGGUUCCUGGACAUUAACUGACGCUGAGGCACGAAGGCCAGGGGAGCGAAAGGGAUUAGAUACCCCAGUAGUC